AUUGAACGCUGGCGGCAGGCCUAACACAUGCAAGUCGAGCGGAGCGGCGGACGGGUGAGUAAUGCCUAGGAAUCUGCCUGGUAGUGGGGGAUAACGUUCGGAAACGGGCGCUAAUACCGCAUACUAUCAGAUGAGCCUAGGGCGGAUUAGCUAGUUGGUGGGGUAAAGGCAUACCAAGGCGACGAUCCGUAACUGGUCUGAGAGGAUGAUCAGUCACCAUGGAACUGAGCCACGGUCAAUAUUCCUACGGGAGGCAGCAGUGGGGAAUAUUGGACAAUGGGCGAAAGCCUGAUCCAGCCAUGCCGCGUGGAUGAAGAAGGUCUUCGGAUUGUAAAGCACUUUAAGUGGGGAGGCGUUACUAACAGAAGAAGCACCGGCUAACUUCGUGCCAGCAGCCGCGGUAAUUC
rnacentral:rRNA from 1 species